AUUGAGGAACAGAGAGCAUGCAAACUGUCUCAGCCAAAGUGGCAAAUGUUGACCAGUGAAAUCACCUGGGUGCAGAGCCCUACCUGUCUGGCCGCCCCCGCCCACACGAAAGCAUUAAAUCAUCACUGUGCUUGAAGACAGAAAACUUGAGGUCUGGGCUCAGCCGUACCGGCUAUUGACCUUGGGUCCUUGUGCAGGUCGUAUGCCCCUCCCUUUUUCCCAAUGCCUUGACACACGCAUCACAUCAGAUAGUCUUGGAAGGGAACUCCAUGAAUGGGGAUAGACUUGGCAAAGGUGUUAGCCCAUCCUGGUUAAACAUUCCCAGUGUCCCCUGGGGCUGAAUUUAGACUCUGGCAGCUAGCAUAGAUAGAUUCUGUGGGGGACAGAGCUGUCACAUCUGCAGUCACUAAUGAUCUCCAUUUCAACACCCCAUUUAAAAUAUGAAGCACUGCAUAGUUGGUGUCUCCAGAUGUAGCUCUUUGAAAACUUCAUUCGGAAGUACCCAGUUCUCUGUAGUGCCCGCCCUCCCCUGCCUUUCUUGCUCAUUUUUGGCUGCAGUAUGUUUCUGAGAGCCAGCAGAAAUCCCAGCUCCUCGUAAGGAAAUGUCCCGUAUCCAAAGCCCAGCUUGGAUUAUUACCUCUGCCACAACUGCAGUGACCCCAGACUGCUGAGAGCAUCACCCGAAUUGGGUCAGGCUCUAGGGACUGGCCUGAAUAUUCCUUCCCCGUGACUCUAUAAAAUCACAGAUCCUGGAGAUAGAAGAGCCGUCAAGAGAUGCCAGCUUUAGGGCAUUGCCUCCCCACCAAAAGUGACACAAACAAGAAAGAGAAGACUCGAAAAUAAGAUACCAUGCUUCCUGAAAUAGGCUAUUCUUCACACAGAUAGAAUAGAAUUGGGGGGAGGAGCUAGAAAGCCAUGCCAUGGUUUUCACUUUCUUUUGCAAGUGACUGGGAGCCACUGGAGGAUUUGAAGCAGUUGAAUUAGCCAGAAUAAUUUUGGUAGAGGAAGUUCUCCCUGGAAGCAAUGACACAUACAUAGUCCUGACCGAUACUCAGCCAUCUGAGUCCUUGCCAACAAAGAUUGGAGGAGGGAUGUUGGAAAACAAGUGAGAGAAUCUGUGGCUAGUAGGCUUGGAUUAUAAGAUAUACUAAAAAAAAUAGACUCUUCAGAAUGAAGGAAAAUGAUAAUGGUGGAAAUUUGGAUAUGCAGAAAGGAAUGAAAAGCUCUAUAAAUGAAAUAAAGGUGGUGGAGGAGUCUGAAGAUAUGGUUUCAACUCAUGGCUGAACUUCAUUCAACUCAUUCAUUUAUUCAUUCAUUCACUCAGUCACUUACUUAGCACAGAUUUGAGGACUUCCGUUAUACAUGGCACUGCACUGCGUACCUGGGGUAUAUGGGUUUUAUAUAGAUGGACAGAGAGAUAGAUGAUAGAUGAAAUGGAUAUGGACAGAGAUAUAGAUAUAUAGAUACAGAUUUAACUGGGCCCUUGCAAAGCUCAGAGUCCAGUAAAGGACACGGCAUUAUAUAAACAGGCACAAAUUAUUGUGGUAACUUUCCAGAGGGAAUUGACUGGUGAACCACAGACCUAUAGGAUGGGGGAAGUCUGAUUUAUUCUGGUGGUCAGGCCAGGCUUCCUAUGUCGUCAUUUGAGAGCUGAGCUCCAAUGAAAGGAGACGGACAACUCCCUACCCCCUACCACAAACACCUGUGACACUGAUUGUAACAUGGAUUCUGAAGGCAGACUGCGUGAGUUUCUCUUUGUGUCUCUGCUCUAAAGUAGUUUUGCAGAGUCCUGGAGGACCAGGAUCCUUCAUGCUACCUUCCCAUCUGCAGCCCUAAAACACCGCUUAGGGGUUCAGGUAAUGGGAACGUUGCUGCUCAUCUCGGCUUCGCGACUGUCUAUUUUCAGGUGCAAAAAAUAGAAGGACCAGACCCCAAAGGGGGCAUUUUCUUUCCAAGAGGUUCCCCAGGGACUCCACCCACUGGAUUCUGCCAACAUCCCCUGUUCCUAGUUCAUUAUUCCUGGUUGAAAGGAUGUCCCGGGGAAGGCAGGAUUUCAAACUGGGCAUUUUGCCUCCUUGGCCGGAUUCAGAGGAGACUGGGGGGUCAACUAGCUGUGUCUGCCUGAGCUGUAGGCAGUAUUGAUUUCUUUCUGGUAAUCUGUAUCUUUUCUUCUUUUUUGGCAACACCGAUCAGAUUUUCUUUCUGGAAAGGAAUCUGCUCCCGUGAUGGGAGUUCCUGGUGUUUGGCCUCCUUGAAACUGAAGAAGGGACCUUGAAGUCUUCGAAUCCUGAGCAAAAGAGACAAAGUUGGAACGAGAGUUGUACAUUUAUUCUAAGGAGGCAUGGUCAAAAUGAUGCGCUAUUUUAUCUGCUACCCAGGAUGCCGGGACUGCCUAUUUUGUGUUCUUUUCACACUGGUUUUCCUAAUCUUCUCUCAGAUUCAGGAAACCAAAACCUCUGCUCUCUCUUCCCAGAUACCUCCAGUCAGAAGUGCCAUCUGCUCCCAUUAUCCCCUACCCAGCCCUCCUCCCCACCUCCCCCUGCCCCUGACCCCCAGCACCCAGCUCUUUGCUUGAAGCUCAUCCUAGCGGUCAAGUUUGGAUGGCUUUUCUGCUUUAAGUCAUUGCCUAUAUAUCUGUGCCCUCCCCUGCUUCCAUGUUUUUGACUGUUAACUCCUGAGGGCAGGGAUGGACUGAAUUCAUUUUCGGGUCUCUAACACCUAGCAUGGUGAUUAGCACAUGGGGCUUCUUGAUGCAUGUUAUGGUUGCUAUUCUUUUAGAGCUGUAACGAGGUACUGGGGCCCAUUAGAAAACAGACAACGCAGAAGACAAGAGUCUUGGCCAUGGAGAGAUUCCUGACCAUGUCUGCAGAACUUUUCCAGAAUCCUAUUUGCUGCACAGACUUAAUGACUCCAUUUUCUUCAGUGAAUUUUGACUCGUGGAGCCACCUCUCCUCUGUAUUACAACAAAUAUAUUACAAUGAAUUCUC